rnacentral:rRNA from 1 species
UUAUUAUAACUUGCUUAUAAAAUAACUGUUUUUUAGAUUAUAAAAAUAAUUUAUUGUUAAAAUAAAAUAAAGUAAAAUAUAUUGAAAUAUUUUAAUAUGUUAUAAGCUAUAGUAAAUAAAUACUGUAAAGGAAAGUUUAAAUAUUAAUUAAAUUAAAUAAACUUAUAGUAAUAUUUAAUGUGUGUACCUUGUGUAUCAGGAAAAAUCAAAAUUUUUUUUGUUAUUUAAAAAAUCUCGAAAAAAAAAGAGCUAAAUAUAAAAUAAAGUUAUCGUAUUAAAGAUAUUAAUAAUUUAUAUUUAGUGGCGAAACACUAGUCGAUUUUUUAUAUCUAGUUGUAAAUGAAUCGAAUUAAAUUCACUGUUUAAUUAAACUUAAAAAUUAAACUGCAAGAAAAGGAGGGAAAAGCUUCUUUUUCUAUUAUAAAUAGACUGUAAUUAUGUUAGUAAUUUUAAUAUAAAUCUAGGCUUACAAGCAGCCACGUUAAUAAAGCGUUUUAGCUAAUUAAAAAAAAUAUAUAAUUUUUAUGAUAUAUUCAGUUUUAAAGUAAUUUACUUAAAAAUAAAACAAUUUUUUUUUGUAAUAAUGGUUUUAUUAGUAGAUUUUAAUGUGUAUUUUUUUACUUUAAUAAUUUCGAAAUUUUAAAUUGUAGUUAAUAUAAAACUAAGGAACUCGGCAAAUCUACUCUUUUGCCUGUUUAUCAAAAACAUCUCUUUAUGUUUUUAUUAUAUAAAGUAUAGCCUGCUCACUGACUUAUGCAGUUAAAGAGCCGCGGUAUUUUGACCGUGCGAAGGUAGCAUAAUAAUUAGCCUUUUAAUUGAGGGCUUGUAUGAAUGGUUGCACAAAAAGAAAGCUGUCUCAGUUUUAAAAAUUAAAUUUAACUUUUAAGUGAAAAGGCUUAAAUAAAUUAGAGGGACGAUAAGACCCUAUAAAGCUUUACUGUUUAAAUUUUCUGAUAAUAAUUAUUAAGUAUUAACUUAUUUGAGGUUAAACCAGUUUCAUUGGGGCGAUGAAAAUAUAAUAAUUUAACUGUUUUAAAAUUUAUUUAUUACAAAUAUUAUUGCUUGUUGAAUGAUCCUUUAAUAAAGAUUAUAAGUUUAAGUUACUUUAGGGAUAACAGCGUAAUCUACUUUAAGAGUCCAAAUCGACAAGUAGGAUUGCGACCUCGAUGUUGAAUUAAAAUUCCUUUCUAAUGUAGCCGUUAGAAUAAGGAGGUCUGUUCGACCUUUAAAAUUUUACAUGAUUUGAGUUCAGACCGGCGUGAGCCAGGUCGGUUUCUAUCUUCUAUUAUAUAUAAAAUUAUCUUAGUACGAAAGGAUUGGAUAGUUGAAAUAAUUUUACCACUAUGAAUUUUAUUAAUAUAACUUAUAUUUAUUAUUUUGGCAGAAUUAUGCAUUGGACUUAGGAUCCAAU